rnacentral:misc_RNA from 1 species
GAUGAAGAACGCAGCGAAAUGCGAUAAUUAAUGUGAAUUGCAGAAUUCAGUGAAUCAUCGAAUCUUUGAACGCACAUUGCGCCCCUUGGUAUUCCGAGGGGCAUGCCUGUUCGAGCGUCAUUAUAACCCCUCAAGCUCAGCUUGGUGUUGGGGCCUGCUGCACUGGCAGCCCUUAAAAUCAGUGGCGGCGCCAUCUGGCUCUAAGCGUAGUAAUUCUUCUCGCUAUGGAGUCCUGGUGGAUGCUUGCCAUCAACCCCCAAUUUUUCUAUGGUUGACCUCGGAUCAGGUAGGGAUACCCGCUGAACUUAAGCAUAUCAAUAAGCGGAGGA